UACGUAGGGGUCUAGCGUUGUCCGGAUUUAUUGGGCGUAAAGCGCUCGCAGGUGGUUCGUCGCGUCGUGCGUGAAAGACCCCGGCUCAACUGGGGGAGGUCGUGCGAUACGGGCGAACUGGAGGCCAGUAGGGGGAUGCGGAAUUCCGGGUGUAGCGGUGAAAUGCGCAGAUAUCAGGAGGAACACCGGUGGCGAAGGCGGUUCUCUGGGCAUGUCCUGACGCCGAGGAGCGAAAGUGUGGGGAGCGAACAGG
rnacentral:rRNA from 1 species